UGAGUUUGAUCCUGGCUCAGAUUGAACGCUGGCGGCAGGCCUAACACAUGCAAGUCGAGCGGUAACAUUUCUAGCUUGCUAGAAGAUGACGAGCGGCGGACGGGUGAGUAAUGCUUGGGAACGUGCCGUAAGGUGGGGGACAACCAUUGGAAACGAUGGCUAAUACCGCAUAAUGUCUACGGACCAAAGGGGGCUUCGGCUCUCGCCUUAUGAUCGGCCCAAGUGGGAUUAGCUAGUUGGUAAGGUAAUGGCUUACCAAGGCGACGAUCCCUAGCUGGUUUGAGAGGAUGAUCAGCCACACUGGAACUGAGACACGGUCCAGACUCCUACGGGAGGCAGCAGUGGGGAAUAUUGCACAAUGGGCGCAAGCCUGAUGCAGCCAUGCCGCGUGUGUGAAGAAGGCCUUAGGGUUGUAAAGCACUUUCAGUAAGGAGGAAAGGUUAGUAGUUAAUACCUGCUAGCUGUGACGUACUACA
rnacentral:rRNA from 2 species